UUCAUAACUGAAUUAAUACUUAAUGUUGUCUGAAGAGGUCUUUUAAAAACACAUAAGUAGAAAUUGCUAUGUUACACAAACCCUAAAGCAGAAACUUUGAUGAAAGGGUGCCCAUUUUUAAGCUAGGCUCUGAAAUAGCUUUUCCCGCUAGCAACGCGUCAUAUGACGUAGGCAGAGGUAAACAAUAGGUUUCUUCUCACUCUACAGUGGUGAGAGAGAGCGAGCUAUAGAGAAAGUUUAUGUAAGUCAUAAUGGUAAAUUAUGUGCUGGUUGCACAAAGUCCAGCCUGUCAGGAAAUCGUGUACAUAAUUUUCCUUGUAGGAAAAGCAAGGUUUUUACGUUUUUGGGUGCGUUUUGUGCAGGUGAAGUGAGCAGACUUCACUGCCGCGUCUGUCACCACACUCGUCGUUUGUGGCGCUCAUUUCACUACGGAGAGUUAUAGACCUGGAGAUUUGUUAGAGUCUCGGAUGGGAUUUUGGAGUAAGGACAAUGUGAGGUUAUUACCGAUGCUGUUCCCUCGGUGCACCACCAUCAAAGCUUUCACCUGAAUCUGGCGCGGGCAGGACUGGAGGACCAAGUGCUAGCACUUGCAGAAAUUCCAUGCACCGAAAAAGAGCUCCUAGCAGAAUUUUGGCAGAGCGUGCAGCCAGUAAUGAAGGGAUAGAUGCACCUGACAGAGGGCUUCUCUCUACAGGAUCCUGGGCCAUUAGUGCUUCGUCGUGGGUCACAGUGCAACAUCAGAUGUCUGCAAAGCUCAUCAGUUUUCCUUGGACUAGGGUGGCCCCUAAAUCAUGGCUGCAGCUG